rfam:Arabis alpina cultivar Pajares Aa.chr8_contig_3586, whole genome shotgun sequence.
GUUGGCAGUGAUGACUCGGAAUAUUCAAGCUCAACAGACCGGAAUUAGGCGUUUCUUCCUUAACCGGAGAUCCGUUUCUGUGUCGAUAAUCCCGCUGAUCUGAGUCUUC